rnacentral:rRNA from 1 species
CUCGACCUCAUGAAGUCGGAGUCGCUAGUAAUCGCAGAUCAGCACCGCUGCGGUGAAUACGUUCCCGGGUCUUGUACACACCGCCCGUCAAGUCAUGAAAGUCGGUAACACCUGAAGCCGGUGGCCCAACCCUUGUGGAGGGAGCCGUCGAAGGUGGGAUCGGUAAUUAGGACUAAGU